ACAAACGGUGGCGGCGUCCUAACACAUGCAAGUCGAACGCGCUGGUUGUUUCGCCCAGGUAGCGAGUGGCGGACGGGUGAGUAACACGUGGAUAACCUGCCCUGGUGUGGGGAUAGCCUUCAGAAAUGAGGGGUAAUACCGCAUACGUUGGCACGGGGUGGAGACACUCUUUGUCAAGGAAGCUAGUGGAGUCGCAAGGCUCUGGUGGCGCACUGGGAGGGGUCCGCGGCCGAUUAGCUAGUUGGUGUGGUAAGAGCGCACCAAGGCGACGAUCGGUAGCUGGUCUGAGAGGAUGGUCAGCCACACUGGGAUUGAGAACGGCCCAGACUCCUACGGGGGGCAGCAGUGAGGGAUCUUCGGCAAUGGGGGCAACCCUGACCGAGCAACGCCGCGUGCGGGACGACGCCUUUCGGGGUGUAAACCGCUUUUCUGGGGGACGAGGGAGUACGGACGGUACCCCAGGAAGAAGUCUCGGCUAACUACGUGCCAGCAGCCGCGGUAAUACGUAGGAGACGAGCGUUGUCCGGAGUUACUGGGCGUAAAGGGUGCGCAGGUGGCCUGGCGCGUGGGGGGUGAAAUCGCCCGGCUUAACUGGGCGGGGGCCUUCCAGACGGCGAGGCUUGAGGCGCGGAGGGGGACGUGGAAUUCCGGGUGGAGCGGUGAAAUGCGUAGAGAUCCGGAGGAACACCGACGGCGCAGGCAGCGUCCUGGCCGCGACCUGACACUGAGGCACGAAAGCUGGGGGAGCAAACAGGAUUAGAUACCCUGGUAGUCCCAGCCGUAAACGAUGUCCACCAGGUGCCGGGCGGAUCGACCCGUUCGGUGCCGCAGCUUACGUGAUGAGUGGACCGCCUGGGGAGUACGGCCGCAAGGUUG
rnacentral:rRNA from 1 species